AGUCUUAUAUUCUAAUAGAUAUUAAAUUGCAAAUUUAAAGAUGAAUAAUUUAUUCUAAGGCUU
rnacentral:tRNA from 1 species